rnacentral:rRNA from 1 species
UGCCAGCAGCCGCGGUAAUACGAGGGGGGCAAGUGUUGUUCGGAAUUACUGGGCGUAAAGGGAGCGUAGGCGGAUUUACAAGUCAGGUGUUUAAUCUUGGGGCCCAACCCCAAACUUGCACUUGAAACUGUAUGUCUUGAAUAGGUCAGAGGUAAACGGAAUUCCUGGUGUAGCGGUGGAAUGCGUAGAUAUCAGGAAGAACACCAAAGGCGAAGGCAGUUUACUGGGACCAUAUUGACGCUGAGGCUCGAAAGCGUGGGGUGCGAACAGGAUUAGAUA